rnacentral:lncRNA from 1 species
UAAAUUAUUGACACAAGAUAUGGCAGGGAUGACCGAGUUUCAGAAAGCUGAGCAUGCGAUUGCACUUAAAUUGAUGCGGGAGGAGUUAUUCCCCAACGCUCGUCAAUAAGUUUGGAAGGUAUGGUUUUGUGUUCCUAUGAGGCUUUGUUGUAUCAUGCCAGGUUCUAAGAUGUUGCAUUGUACAACUAUUCAAUAUGAUAAUUGUUUAACCUCCACGCUUUUUGUAUGCAGGAACCUGUUCCUGUUUGAUGAAUGAAGAGAGAAGAACAGCCAAUGAAGCAAUGUGGUUCAUGUCCUAGUACUGAUGCUUCGGGAGUGCACAAGCUUGUUUUUGUUUUGUUGACAGAAGUAGUUAUUAUCAAUAGAUUUCUGUUGGUCUCGAGCUAGUUAUUUAUGUAUGUCAACUUCUUGCUUAAGUACUUCCAAAAAUUGUUUUCUAAUCCGAAGUCAGUAAUAAUCAU